UACAGAGGGGGCAAGCGUUAUUCGGAAUUAUUGGGCGUAAAGGGCGCGUAGGCGGCCAUUCAAGUGACGGGUGAAAGCCCUCGGCUUAACCGAGGAACUGCCUGUCAGACUGGAUGGCUUGAGACCGGGAGAGGUGAGUGGAAUUCCCAGUGUAGCGGUGAAAUGCGCAGAUAUCAGGAGGAACACCGAUGGCGAAGGCAGCUCGCUGGGACGGUACUGACGCUGAGGCGCGAAAGCGUGGGGAGCGAACAGG
rnacentral:rRNA from 1 species